UGGGGAAUAUUGCACAAUGGGGGAAACCCUGAUGCAGCGACGCCGCGUGAGCGAAGAAGGCUUUCGAGUCGUAAAGCUCUGUCCUAUGAGAAGAUAAUGACGGUAUCAUAGGAGGAAGCCCUGGCUAAAUACGUGCCAGCAGCCGCGGUAAUACGUAUGGGGCGAGCGUUGUCCGGAAUUAUUGGGCGUAAAGGGUACGUAGGCGGUUUUUUAAGUCAGGUGUCAAAGCGUGGAGCUUAACUCCAUUAAGCACUUGAAACUGAAAGACUUGAGUGAAGGAGAGGAAAGUGGAAUUCCUAGUGUAGCGGUGAAAUGCGUAGAUAUUAGGAGGAAUACCGGUGGCGAAGGCGACUUUCUGGCCUGCAACUGACACUGAGGCGCGAAAGCGUGGGGAGCAAACAGG
rnacentral:rRNA from 1 species